GAAUCUCUGAGGGGAAAGACUGGGAAUGAGGCUGACCAAACCCUCCAGGCUGGCCAGCAAUUUGGUGCAAUUGUUGAAAUUCUUGACGUAAUCCGGGUCUGCACUGGUUGGUGGUACCAUUCCAGCUCAGUGAGUACCCUCUGUGGAGGGCAUAGUUCUAGGCCCUCUGGGGAAGUAUAAAUUAGUGGCUAGAGAAAAAGACUGGCUGUACCGUGGAUCCAGUGACAAGUAUGUCAAAUGCCAAAGAAAGCCGAUCAAGCAAGAGCUGGUAAAACUUCACAGCUAGCCCCAUGGCCUGAGGCAGCAAGGGCUGGAUUCCUGAGCACCAACUUUGUUUGUGCAUGUUCAGCUGGAGAAUCAGAGUCUUCCCAGCAAGCCGGAUGCCAGACCAGAGGUCUAAGAUGUCUCUCCUGAUGCCUCUGGCCUUGGUUUGCUGAUUUAUAAAAGAGGAAAGCAACUGCUACUUCACAGGUAACAGCUGUGAUGCUCAGAAUGGAAAGUGACGUGUCCGGGGUCACAUGUCUGGAGAGUUGGAAGAGCAGGAAUGGAGGUCAUGCUCGUUUGACUCGGUGUUCAGUGCUCACCCAGCACACCUGCUACCUUUCCCAGCAAGUCAGUCUCACAAGGUUAUAUAAUCCAACUGUAUGACUGACUGCCCCAGACCCUGCCUUCCCAUCCAUAGGUGACUCCCCUCCAGCUUGCUGUGUUGGAGAGUGACUUAACUUUGAGUCCAGAGUAUGAAUUCUGCAACCAAACUGCCUGGACUUGAAUUGUGACUCUGCUACUUACGUUAGCUAUGCAAUGUUGGGCCAUAAAACUUCCCUACGCCCCAGUUUCCUCAUCUACGAAAUGGGAACAGUGGUAUAUUUACCUGUAGGGAGUUAAGAUUAAGCAACAGAAUAUAUGUAAAUCAUUUAGCACAGUGUCUGAUGUGCAUAGCAGAUGUUCAAUAAAUGUUAACUGUAUUAGUCAAUAGCUGACCUUUUAGAAACAAAAACAGAAAAACCCUGGCGCUGUUGUGAAACAUACUGUCUGAUGCUUCAAAAUUUAUUUCUGAAGUAUUUCCAGGUGGGGAAGCCAAUACUAAAAUCCAAACCUGACAGGUUUUAGGAGUUUCAACAACAU
ensembl:lncRNA